rnacentral:rRNA from 1 species
UGAGGAAUAUUGGACAAUGGAUGGAAAUCUGAUCCAGCCAUGCCGCGUGCAGGAAGACCGGCUAUGGGUUGUAAACUGUCUUUUGUAUGGGAGCAAUAAUGAUGUACGUGUAGAUUGAUGGUAUACCGA